AGAAAACGUAAAUGACAAUUCGAUUUCGAUAAACAAAAAAAAGUAAACAUCGCUCCGCUGAAGUGAUAAUGUCCGGAAAUUAAUUUUUACCGAUAAUAUUAAAAUAUUAUAGUGAUUAUGUGAAUAGUUUUUGUCGUAAAAUGUGUUAAAUUUGAUUGUGCUAGAUGUUAGUUUUACCUGACAUCAAAUAGACCCUAAUUGCAAGGAAUCCCAUGUGAUAUAUAUCUAGUUUGAUAAAAAUCCCGUCGCGUCUCCUAAGAAGGCGCCACUUCUCCUGAGCAUAUUUAGUUGUCAUUCAAUCUAAACAGUUUUCGGCUAGUAUCGGUCAAGGCAGGAAGUGUUCACACAAGUGCAAAGGCAAAAUGUUGGGAGUUACCAAUGAACAAAAGGUCCACGUUUAUUUAGCGAUCUCUUCGGAAUCUGAGUCGGCAUAAAAGCCGCUUUGGCCAUCGUUCAUCACAGGACGUGACCUUCGGUGCCCUUGAAAGUUGCUCAUCAUGCCAAUCGUUCUGCAGAUCUUCUAUCAAGGCAAAAAGCAUUAUUAGUAGGGGAUAUGGCGCGUCGUGAAGGUCAUUAUCACUUUCUAGUAAUAUGUACCAGAAAAUACAGCUGGCAAACGGCAUGCGUUUUCCGAAUAUUCCUAUUAAAAAGAAUUGUAUAAUCGCUGUAGAUUCACAUAUCUAUGUAUUCCUGUAAUCCAUAGUCUCGUUCAUUAAACAUUUGAUU